UGAUCAUACACUACAAGAAAAAUGAGAAUUAUCUACUGAUAUUUAUAUACGGAUUUUGAUCCGUAUGUAAUAUAAAUAUUACAUACAGAUUUUAUAUACGGAUCACACAAAAAGAGUUAAAUACCGAUUUUAUAUACGGAUUUUUUUAUGUAUAUAAAAUAUGUAAUGUUGACGCAUGACGGAAAGAUUACCUGAAGAUAUAAUCCAUGUGUGACCAUUUAAAAUUGGCAUGUAAUCUGAUAUACAUUACCUUCUAAUAUUACAUAUGGAAUUUUAAAAUGAAUUAUUACAAAUUAAUAAAAAGUAAAACUAAAAGGAUAGGUUUUCGUUUUUCUGUUUUGCCUCCAUGCUUCUUUCAUUUGUCUCCAAGCUUCUUUCAUUUGUCUCAGUGUUAAAAAACCUAGGGUUUUAGGAAGAAGAGCGAGGAGUGUGACGACGACACCAUCCAUCUCUACGACCUCUCCACCGCCUCCUCCCUCAGUUCCCUUCACCAACACUCUGCCUUUGUCACCGCCUUCUCCUUCUACGCCCCUACCAAUCUUUCGUUCCCCCGCAACCUCAUCUCCGCCAACGUCGCUGGCUCUCUCACCAUUUUUUACGCGGACGGCUUCGUCCAUCUUACUACGCUUUUCUUCCACUACCACGGCGCUAUCAACGACCUUGCCCUGAACCGUUCGGUGAGUGCGCCCUCACCGUUGCUUGUGACAACUGCCUCGCCAUCAUCAACCUCGUCCGCGGUCGCCGCAACUGCUUCUUGCGCCUCGACAAGGAAGCUACUCUGGUCAAGUUUAAUGUGUCCGGCGACCACUUUUUUAUGCAAAGAAGAAGGUUUCUGUCCACCACUUUUUGUUAAGCUUUAUGGGAUUCUUGUGAUGCAUCUUUAGGAGAUCUUCAUUGUGCUACCGGUGUUGCGUUUAGGGGGUGUUGCAUUUAGGGAAGAUUCAGAGGGCUUUUAAGGUAUGUUUUGUUUUAUGUGUUUGGUGAUUGAGAAUAUUAUUGAAUGAGUCGCAAAUGCAAGAUCACAGGUACAAAAUGGUAGAGCAAAAUCUUAUCAGUGAGAAGGUGUUUUCCUUUUUGUUGAAUGGGUAUCCAAAUGCGAAAAAAGGUGGUGAAAUGGUUUUCGGUGGUGUUAACCUAAAGCACUUUAAAGGAGACCACACUUAUAUUCCAGUUACUAAAAAAGGUUACUGAUUGAAAUUGGAGAGUUUUUCAUUGGAGGUGCUUCUACAGGUGUUUGUGAGGGUGGUUGUGCUGCUAUUGUGGAUUCAGGAACAUCUUUGCUUGCUGGUCCAACCUUAUGUGCUUCGAUACUGGAAAAUUAUUCAAAAAUUGAAGAGGCUAAAAUAGAGGAGCUCAUGAAGGCAGUAGCAGAUUCUAGUGCCAAAGUGAUUGUUAAUGGAGGAGUAGUUGGAGAGAUGGCUUUGCAUUUCUGUGACCGUUAAGAGUGUGUGAAGUCUUUUUUCCCUUAUGGAUGGUUUUAGUUGUUUCUCGCUAUUGAAUUAAUAUGAACAUUAUAAGUAUUCAAGUCUAGAUUGUUUUCUAACUUAAAUAUUAUUGCAUAUAGGCUUAUGGUUCUGAAAAUCAGCUCAAAGUUUGAACUAUGACGAUUUUGCAGAACAACUGAUUCUGUUGCUAUGGUUUGUGUUUUUGCUUAUUUGGUUAUGAAAAUGUUUUAUGCUUUCCGUCUAAUCAAUUUUAUUUUCCUGCUAUAGUUGAAACUCAGCCAACCGAAUGCAAAUGAUCUUGGAUAUGUGGAUUCUGUUUCAGUUCAGGAAAUUGGUGGUGUCAGGGUAUGUUCAAACCGGAAUGAGCUCUGUUGUCUUCUUUGUUCCACGUUUCUUGUUUAUACUAGUAAAAGAAAAUAUGUUAUGCACGAGAAAAUACACUGGUUUAUUCCAACUAUGGUGUGCACUUAAUUGAUUGGAGGCAUUUCUUUUAAAAGCAAUUUAAUGCUUAAGCUAAUUGAAAUAUGGAUUAAUUGUUUGGAGGCACAAGCAGAAGCCAUUAACCCUUGAUU
rnacentral:sRNA from 1 species